rnacentral:rRNA from 1 species
ACGCUCGACACCUACGGGAGGCAGCAGUGGGGAAUAUUGCACAAUGGGGGAAACCCUGAUGCAGCGACGCCGCGUGAAGGAUGAAGUAUUUCGGUAUGUAAACUUCUAUCAGCAGGGAAGAAAGUGACGGUACCUGACUAAGAAGCCCCGGCUAACUACGUGCCAGCAGCCACGGUAAUCUGAGCGGGCUGGCAAGGC